UACGUAGGGACCAAGCGUUGUUCGGAUUUACUGGGCGUAAAGGGCGCGUAGGCGGCAGAUCAAGUCAGCUGUGAAAUCUCAGGGCUUAACCCUGAACGGUCAGCUGAUACUGUUUUGCUAGAGUACAGAAGGGGCAAUCGGAAUUCUUGGUGUAGCGGUGAAAUGCGUAGAUAUCAAGAGGAACACCUGAGGUGAAGACGGGUUGCUGGGCUGAUACUGACGCUGAGGCGCGAAAGCUAGGGUAGCAAACGGG
rnacentral:rRNA from 2 species